CGUCGUCGGCAGCUGGGUUAGUGGCUCUGCUGCUGCCAUUUCCAAUUCUUGGGAACUUACAGGCUUGGGCUUGAAUCUCCUCCACCUCCAUAUCAGUACUUUCAUGCCUUUCUCAAACAAAGACUCAUUCAAUUUGGGGACUUUCUUGUUUUUUUUUUUUUUUUUUGGCUUUGCAACCACCAGCUGCUCUCUAGUAAUAUCUAGAGAGAGAGAGAGAGAGAGAGAGAGAGAGAGAGAGAGAAGAGGGGUUGAAUUUGGGAGACUGAGUAAGUAGUAUUUUAGAGAGAGAAAGAGGAUGUGGUGGUGUGAUGAGAGGAGUGCAGGUGGGGUUGCUGUGUCCUAUGCAUUGAUGACGAUAAUUCAGAGAGGGUACUUUGGCUGUGUUGUGAUAAAAAGGCCUUUUUUACGCUGGUGAUAUAUCACGGUCCAAGUCAGGGGGGCUCUCUCUCUCUCUUCUUUCUCUCUCUCGCGUCUAAAGCUUUUUGCAGUUUUGCAGAGUGCUUUCAAAAGCAAGCAGCAAACCAAAGCCUGCACAAUUUAGUCUUCAGAGUCUCAGCCUCUCUCAGCCUCUCAGCCCUGCAAACCCAACAAAGCAAAACAGUCAAAUUUCCUUUCCCUUUUUUUUCUUCUUUUUUUCUUCCAAAUUUAAAAAUGACAACAAAGAAGAUAAGUACCUAAUAUAUAUAUAUAUAUAUAUAUAUAUAUAUCAUAAAAUAAAGAAGUAAAAGCCCUUUUUAAUUGUAAAACAAAAACACAGUCACAGACUCAGAGCUCAAUGCCUAAACCUAACAAAAGGGCUAACAAAAGGGUUUUAAAGAAGAUGACCUUUAAAUAUAACCAAAGUAGAAAAGAAAAAAGAAAAGAAAAAAAGACCUAUCCUCCCCCUUCCCUCUCCCCCAUAAACCAGAUUCAAGUUGAAGCACAAAAGCAGAAGCAGUAACCAGCUUCUGCUUCCUCACUGUAUAUGCCAAGACAUAUUCUUGCUCCACUCUGUAUAUAUUAAGCAAUAACACACCAACAGCAACAGUGUUGGUUUAAAAUAUGGGGAAAAAAAUUAAAACCUUGAACAAUGUUGUGUGGGUUUUGAUUUGGUACAGGUGUCAAAAGCUCUGACUGUUACAACUUACAAGUACAGCCAAACAAACGUAGAGCAGUGUGAUUCUUUUGUCUGCAGAUUCAUAAGCACUUGAGAUUUGAGCAUCCAAAGCUCACAGAUCUGCGCAUUAAAACUUGAUGGGAUCAGUUCCUUUGCUGCAAAAACAUCAAUUAAAACAAAACCCUUCCCAUUGCCUCCCCUUCCCCUACCUCCAAAAUCUCCCAACCCCCCAUGCUAAUUACAAAUUUACAAAUAUAGGUCAUAAUAAUAACUAGAAUUAAAGCUGUAAAAUUCAACCUAAACAAAGAACCAGGCUUGUUUUACACACAACUCCUGGCUGCCUGUAAAGAUCAGAAACCACCAUUAACUAACCUAAACAAGGAACCCAGAAACAAAAAAGUUGAAAAUUUUGAGCUUUGUUUUGCAUAAAGAUGAAAAAUUGAGUGACAAAAAGACUCACAGAAGCUACACGUGUGCUUGUGAGCUUAGAAUUGGAGAUGGGUUGGGAGGAGGGAGGGAGGGUGUUAGGGUUGUUGGUGUGUUUGGCGGGUAAGAAAAUAACCAGAAAAAAAAAAUGGAAAUGGAAAGUGGGAAAUUGAUGCGGAGUGGAGGGAGAGGUUCAAAAACUGAAAACUGAAAAAAGAAAAGUCGGGUUUUUAAAGGGCUAAGUAGUUGAAGUGAUGAACAGUGAAGAGGAAGAAGUGAAGGAGGAGAGAGAGAGAGAGAGAGUUGGUUUGCUUCUUCCCCAUUUGAGCAAAUAACCGGGCUUAUCGGGAAAGGACAGCACACAGCGCCGUUCUCUCCACUUUAUAGAUAUACUCUCUUAUCUCCUUUUUACCCCUCGUUCGCUUCCUUUUUACUCUAUUACCCUUGACCUUUAUUCAAUUGUUAAUCUACUUGAUUUUCUUGGUCGACCAUAUUUUAAUUCCGACAAGAAAACUAGAAAAGGGCUACUAAAUAUAAAAUUUGUAAUUUCCAUCAUUUAGAGGAAUGAGGAGCUUUGAACUAAUUUAGGUCAAAUGUUCCCUUCCACCCUACAUAACCAUUUCUAUUAAUCUUUUCGUAUUUCUCAGAACAUCGAUAUUUUCCAUCAAGCUUUUAGUUUUUUUUUCCCUUUUGCUGCAUAUUUCCAUUGAGCUUGAUAUUGAAUAACUCAGCUGUCGAAAUGCUUGCAAAUACUUCAAUUAAUUAGCCGAAAAUAUUGAAUUUAACUGGUGAGAAAUAGAGAAAAAUAAACAUGACACGAAGUUAAAUAAAUGAACAAAUGAAUAAAAGUAUGCGUUUGAUAACUAAUUUAUAGGGAAAACAAAAUAAUCCCCAAGUAUAUAAAGGAGCAAAAUGUAACUUGCAACGCAGAGUUCUACAAGAUAUAUACAUAUAUAUGUAGUUAUUUUUUUAUCUGAAGCAAGAAAAAAUAGUAGAAAAUACAUGACGUAUGCACGAUAAUAAUAUCCGAAUGUCCGGAGAAUAUAUAUAUAUAUAUAUGGCUGAAGAGAACAUGGGUUACCAUUAUUGGAGUGCAGCCCAUGUUAGGAGUAAACUGUACAAAUUUAGGUUGCAAAGAUCUGUUCUACCAAAAAAGCUGAAAAACCCAUCAAGUGAAAUCAGACUACUUUAGAUCCCCCCUAAUUAAAUAAAGCAAGAAAAUCUAGAGGGUUUUCUGACCCCUAAAUCAGAUACCACUGCUUUAUACUUACAUACGUACUGCCUUAGUUUUCAGCUACCACUGACAUUAGCUGUCAUCUAAUUAGAAGCAAGUCUGCCUCCCUGCUCACCUAAAUAAUGUCCACACAAAAAGAUUUGCCUUUGAUUCCUUUUAAUUGUUUCAUGAUUUGUGGACUGAUUUGUUGGUUUUACUAGGUAGGAUUUGUACUCUCUCCACACAGCUCUUAGUUGUAAAGGGUUAAGUUUCAGCGUUAUCUCCUUCCUUUGCAGUACUAAACCCAGCUACUUUCUUAGAUAUUACACUGUGUGAGUGUGAUAUGCAUACUUUGAAAUCAAGGACAACUGCUAACCAACCUUGAAUCUGAGCACAGUAUUCACUAAACAGUACUCUUUCUCAAUUUGUGCUUAGAUAUGUUCAAGCAACCAACUUCACCAUCUUCAUCAAUCGCGGUAUAGCAAGAGAAAAAGUUCAGGUAGAAAGUUCAGGCAGAAUGAGCUGCGUACAGUAAAAGGAACCGUAAUUGACUAGGGUAGGAAAUGGUAACAUUGUAAUUGUAAGUUCAGCAAGAGGGUUAAUGACAGGGAUGACAAAAAGGAGAGCACCUCAACACAAAGUCUCCCAAAAAUGAUGUGGAAAAGAAAUAAAGGAGUUUUCCACCACCCAAAUGUCGAGUCGAGAACUCACUCGUCCUCCCCUCCCAACCAAACUUCUCAAUCAGACUUUUUAAAAAGAGUGUUUUGUGGGGGUUGGUUUAUAUUUAAUUCAACUGAUAUUAUGUUCCAAGCAAGGAUUUAAGAUUUAAUUAAUGGGAUGAAACUUAUUGGUCCGUACGGGUCAUGAUGUGUCUCUUUCUUACGACUACUACCCAUCCUCAAUAUAUAAUUUAAUUAAUUAUAUACGAGGUGGCAGCAUUUGAUGGGCCAUGGAUGCAGCAGCAGCAGCAGCAGCAGCAGAAAACCCCAUUAUGUAAUGUAUGAUAUCUUUGCUGGAAAAUUAAAAAAUAAAAAAAAUAAAAAAAAAAAUUGUUGCAACAGGAGAAAGCAAUUAUUUGGCCACUCCCCUCAUAAAUUGCUUUAUGGUGCACCUCGAGGGCAUUAAAUAUAAAGAAUAUACCAUAUAGUUUUUUUCUCUUAUAAUUUAGUUACAUGUAUUUUGGUGUAACAAGGGAACUGAUGACAUAAGUACUAAUAUAGUACUCUCAUAUGAACAAAUAUAUAUAUAUAUAUGUUUGUGUGUUUGGUGAGGCAAGCUACAUGACCCACAUCCUUAUAUGCACAAGCCAACACAAAUCCCUUGUGUAGGCCACUAAUUUAUGUGGCAAGGUUAUAAAUGUUGUACUAUAUGUACAAUAUAUUAUAAUAAAAGUAUUUGUUGAAACGAAAUUGUGUUAUCGUUUUUACAUCAUCAACUUUUAUGCGUUUAUUGCAUGUCAGUAUGGUGAUAUAAAUUAUAAGUACUAGAGUGUGAUUAGAGUUUUUCUUAUAAUAAUGUUACAUAAAUGCCGGUGUGGAUCAAGGUUUAAUUUAGAUAAUGAGAGCAAUGCUCAAGGCAACGUACGCCAAAAUUGGUGGAGAUAAGGAGGGCCUUUUUUCUAUUAGUGUAUGUGAUUUGUUAAAUAAAUUUGAGAAGUUUUGUAUUACGUACUGUCUUAUGCUAGGCAUAAGAAAACAUCACUCUUGACUUUGACCUGUGGAUUUAUCUUUGGAAGUUAAAGUCAAAACUGUCCCUUUCUCUGGACUUAUAUCACUUUGAUUAUAUUUAACUGGAUGGCACAUUUCGUAUUGGUGGUGAGGAUAAGAAAGAUACCACACUGGAUUUGUCUGGUGGCCAUGUUUUUUUUAUUAAAGCCAGAUUACAAUUGUAUGUAAAUAUAUAAAAACAAAAAAAUAUUUCAUUUUCAUGGCACUACGAGGUUGAGUCUUUUACAUAAACACAAUGUGUUGUGUGUUUUUGUGUGUGUCAUAACUGAAGUAAAUUUUUUGUCUUUGUGAUUUCUAACUAGGCCGGAUUCAUUCAGACGUGAGAAAUAUGAACGAAUUUCACCUCUAGUCAAAAUGUGAUUAACAAUGUAAACAGUAAACUUAAAAUUUCAUUUUUAUGACAUUACACAAACACGUUUGGGAAAAAGAUAAAAAAAAAACUUUUAAAGACCACAUAUGUAAUGCUCCGAUAACAUAUUGCUACGAAUAACCUAACCUACAAUAUCUACGCGAGCAAUAGUCAAGAACAUCCAUGGCGCAUAUGUAACAUUUACAACCUUUUUUAUUAAAAAAGAAUAACCAAAUUAAUGUUACUAAAUAAGUGGAGGGGUACAGUGUAGGCAUGAGAAAUCAUAAUCCGUGGUAUUGCCAUCGUAACUAGUAGCAGUACUGUAGAGAAAAAUGAAUUAAGCAACAAAAUUAUUUCUUUAAUUAAUUCCCCAUUAUUAAAACGGAAUCAUAUUCUUUUGUUAGACAGCUUUACAAAUUAGACACAUAAAUUAAAAACAUGAAGGAAAAUAAUAAUAAUAAUAAUAAUAAGGGAAAAUGGUAGGUUUUGUUGGAUAUCCAAAAAAAUCAGAGCAGUAUGCAUAGUCUCCGACAUUAAUUACCAAAAAACGAAAUUAGAUGUACAUGUUUAGAUUAAUUAACUGCAGAAAAGCUUGAUUAAUUCAGAGGGCGUGUUCUCGAAGUUCCAUGCUAAAUCACUUGCCGGGUAAAAAGAAGCCAACAUUUGUUUAAGCUUCCCCAAAAGAAAGAAAAGAAUCCACUUUCUGCAGUACAAAACAAUUCCUUUAUCAUUUAUGAGCCAUAACACUAUAAUAAUAACAUAAACAACAAACUUGUAAUUCGACUGGUUAAGAACGAUUAUUCUUGCAACGAAAGUCUUGAGUUUGAAUUCACACAUUUCCAAUAUCGCUUGUAUAAAAAAGAAGAAAGUAAGAAACACACAACUUAUUCAGUACUAAUCACUAAACAAAAACCAAUUACAUGUACUAUUAGUUAAUAAUGUUAAUUAAGUAAUUAAUUAGUUAAAGGUAUAAGGUGGUGAGUGGGAGAUGCAGAAAAGUGGGUUAGUUUUGAGUUGAUCAAGGCAGAUGAGAAGCUAAAAAGCCAAGUUGGUUUGUGUUGUGUGUGUGUGACAGAGACUUUGUGACACGCUCGAGAGAGAGAGAGGAGGCAGGGGCACGUGUCGUGGUUUAAAGGGAAGGGAGAAAGGAGAGGGAGAAGGAAGAGGGAAGUGUGUAAUGCAUCAAUGCGUUGGGUGAGUAAUCGAUGAGUGGAUGUGGAACAGAGACCAGAGCACGUGUCACGGUCUUCGUGAAACACAGCACAGCCCAGCACAUCCACCCUUCAACUUCUGUUUUUCCUUCUUUCUUUCUUUGUACUUGUUUUACCUUUACUCCAUUCGUAGCCUUAGGUUUUUUUUUUUUUUUUUUUUUUCACUUUUUUCAGUUUGGAAUAUCAAUUAUUUGUGGUAGCAGAAAAGAAAACUCCCCUCCUUUCAAAUCAAAACCAUGAUAACAUAAUCUCAGAAUAUAACUUGGUUCUUCAUGAUGUCAUUCUCUUAUAAUAAUCUAAAUUAUUGAGAUUCAUGUCCGUACUUAGGUGGGUAAUUUUUGACUAAAUAUAAACCAACGGUUAUAAUUUAGUUAAGGAUGCGUGGAUGAGUGAUUGUAGCACUAUUCAUUUGG
rnacentral:lncRNA from 1 species